UAGUCAUAUGCUUGUCUCAAAGAUUAAGCCAUGCAUGUCUAAGUAUAAGCUUGUUUAUACGGCGAGACUGCGGAUGGCUCAUUAAAUCAGUUAUAGUUUAUUUGAUGGUCUCUUUUGUCUUUUUUUACCUACUUGGAUAACCGUGGUAAUUCUAGAGCUAAUACAUGCGCAAGGUCCCGAGCGCGGGGGGCAGGGCUUCACGGCCCUGUUCUCGCAUGCGCAGAGGGAUGUAUUUAUUAGGUUAAAAACCAGCGGGUAGGCCAGCAAUGGUCUAUCA
rnacentral:rRNA from 1 species